rnacentral:rRNA from 1 species
GGUUCUGGCGUUAAGGUGGCUUAUGCUGCUGACAUACGCAGAAGACAACGUCAGGUGGGGAGUUUGGCUGGGGCGGCACAUCUGUUAAACAAUAACACAGGUGUCCUAAGGUUGGCUCAAUGAGAACAGAAAUCUCAUGUAGAACAAAAGGGUAAAAGCCAACUUGAUUUUGAUUUUCAGUAUGAAUACAAACCGUGAAAGCGUGGCCUAUCGAUCCUUUAG